rnacentral:rRNA from 1 species
GUGCCAGCCCGCCGCGGUAAUACGGGGGGUGCUAGCGUUAUUCGGAAUCAUUGGGCGUAAAGGGCGCGUAGGCGGUCUUUUAAGUCAGAUGUGAAAGCCCUCGGCUUAACCGAGGAAGUGCAUUUGAUACUAAGAGACUUGAGUAUGGGAGAGGGAAGCGGAAUUCCUGGUGUAGCGGUGAAAUGCGUAGAUAUCAGGAGGAACACCGGUGGCGAAGGCGGCUUCCUGGACCAAUACUGACGCUGAGGCGCGAAGGCGUGGGGAGCAAACAGG